rnacentral:rRNA from 2 species
UACGUAGGGGCCGAGCGUUGUCCGGAGUUAUUGGGCGUAAAGCGCGCGCAGGCGGCCUCGCGCGCCCGACGUGAAAGCCCCCGGCUUAACCGGGGAGAGUCGUUGGGGACGGCGGGGCUUGAGGGCGGGAGAGGGUGGUGGAAUUCCCGGUGUAGUGGUGAAAUGCGUAGAGAUCGGGAGGAACACCCGUGGCGAAGGCGGCCACCUGGGCCGACCCUGACGCUGAGGCGCGAAGGCGUGGGGAGCGAACGGG